AGGAGGGCAGCCGGGCCGGGACCGGACCCCCGGGGGGCCCCGACGCCUUCGGCUCCGACGGCCCCCGCGCUGCCGCGGAGGACGGGAGCUCGCCCGCGAGGCCGGGGGGCUACCGGCCCGUCGUCCGCUCUCCCGCCGGGACCCCGGAGAAGACGCCCCUCCCGCCCGCCGCCUGCCCGCUGACCGCCGCCGCCGCCUUCCAGAGGCUGCCCAGCCGGCCCACCCUGACCCCCCUCUCCGCCCGGAGCUGCAAGCCCUGACCGCCGCCCCCCACUCUCCGUCCCCGCCCUCGCUCGGAGCGGGGGGGGGGGGCCUUCCCCUCCACCCCCACCUCAGAUCACGUCCCUCCCGCCCCCUCGCAACUUCCCGGCGAGUCUUCCUCGACGGCCGCCCUCCCCCGCCAGCUCCCCGUGUAGAUCAGUCUGUCUGUCGACGUA